rnacentral:rRNA from 6 species
AAAUUGAAGAGUUUGAUCAUGGCUCAGAUUGAACGCUGGCGGCAGGCCUAACACAUGCAAGUCGAACGGUAACAGGAAACAGCUUGCUGUUUCGCUGACGAGUGGCGGACGGGUGAGUAAUGUCUGGGAAACUGCCUGAUGGAGGGGGAUAACUACUGGAAACGGUAGCUAAUACCGCAUAACGUCGCAAGACCAAAGAGGGGGACC